UUUUUGGGGCAGAAGCGGCUCGAUUUCCUCUUUUGAGCUUGAAUGUGUUUGUCGUGAAGUCAACCUCCUGGACCAGAGCCGAGCACAGAUGGAUGCAGACAAAGCCAGGGCCGGUCCAAAGAUUAAGUGGGCCAGCAAGGGGCCCCGAGAAGGCUUACGCCCUUCACAUGAUUAAUCUCAAGACUUCAUAUUUAGGUUAAUUAAGAAGAAGCCUACUUUA